rnacentral:rRNA from 1 species
ACUCCUACGGGAGGCAGCAGUGGGGAAUAUUGCACAAUGGGGGAAACCCUGAUGCAGCCAUGCCGCGUGUGUGAAGAAGGCCUUGGGUUGUAAAGCACUUUCAGUAGGGAGGAAGGUAGUGUAGUUAACACCUGCAUUAUUUGACGUUACCUACAGAAGAAGCACCGGCUAACUCCGUGCCAGCAGCCGCGGUAAUACGGAGGGUGCGAGCGUUAAUCGGAAUUACUGGGCGUAAAGCGCAUGCAGGCGGCCUGUUAAGUCAGAUGUGAAAGCCCGGGGCUUAACCUCGGAAUUGCAUUUGAAACUGGCAGGCUAGAGUCUUGUAGAGGGGUUAGAAUUUCAGGUGUAGCGGUGAAAUGCGUAGAGAUCUGAAGGAAUACCAGUGGCGAAGGCGCCCCCCUGGACAAAGACUGACGCUCAGAUGCGAAAGCGUGGGAGCAAACAGGAUUAGAUACCCCUGGUAGACUGUCA